GACUGCUAAACGCGAAGAACCUUACCUACUCUUGACAUCCAGAGAACUUAGCAGAGAUGCUUUGGUGCCUUCGGGAACUCUGAGACAGGUGCUGCAUGGCUGUCGUCAGCUCGUGUUGUGAAAUGUUGGGUUAACGUCCCGCAACGAGCGCAACCCUUAUCCUUUGUUGCCAGCGGUCCGGCCGGGAACUACAAAGGAGACUGCCAGUGAUAAACUGGAGGAAGGUGGGGAUGACGUCAAGUCAUCAUGGCCCUUACGAGUAGGGCUACACACGUGCUACAAUGGCGCAUACAAAGAGAAGCGACCUCGCGAGAGCAAGCGGACCUCAUAAAGUGCGUCGUAGUCCGGAUUGGAGUCUGCAACUUCGACUCCAUGAAGUCGGAAUCGCUAGUAAUCGUAGAUCAGAAUGCUACGGUGAAUACGUUCCCGGGUCUUGUACACACC
rnacentral:rRNA from 1 species